CUCCCUACUGCUCUUUUCAUGCUAAGAACUCAAGCCACCCUUGCCCCUUUCCUUGCAAUUAGGAGCUUCGGAGUGGUGGGCAAACGUUGAGUCUAGAACCAGAAAAAUACUCAAAGAAACAACUACUUUAAAGGAGGGACGUCUUCGCGCAUCGUUUAAAAUCAAAUCAAGGAGUCUGCUCGGCUAGAGAAAUGGCUUUUGAGGUUGAACGUGAACGAGGAGGCGAAUGUGUUGAGAAAUGACUAUUAAUAAGUAGUUAGGUAGCCCAGAUUAGUAUGUCUUCAUACCUACUAUUUUGUCUUGGACUCUUCCGCUGUAAUAGAACUAUGUUCUAGGAAUUAUGAAUUUAGUCUUGAUACUCUUAUUUUCUUUUGACUAUGUACCCAUUCACCGUCGAAACUAUUACCUCGAGUUGAUUUAUUGCUCUUAUGUUUA